UUUGAAAAAAGAAGAAAUACAAGUAAAGGUGUUACCUGCUACUCAGAGAUGCCAACAAUAUUCUGCUUGGAUUUGAGAAAAGAAAGGACUAUUUGUGGAGCUGGGUUAUCAGAAGGUCUGAAAUAAAAUGCUACCCAAGCUGCAUAUAAAACCAGAGGAAGUCUGUAAACUCCUUGUCACACAUGCAUAUCGUCAUCAUCAUCAUCGUCAUCAUUGUCAUCACUAUCACUACCAUCAUCCUCAUCAUGGCAGCAAAUCAGAAGCGUGGGAGGGUGAGAGAAUUCACCAGAG